AGCAUUUAGCUGUUGAAGCUGCCAGCAUGAUCCGGUUCAGAAUCAGAAUUUUGAUGAUUCAGAUCGUGCUGCAGCUUCACCUGCUAAUGCA
rnacentral:pre_miRNA from 1 species